rnacentral:rRNA from 1 species
AACGAACGCUGGCGGCAGGCUUAACACAUGCAAGUCGAACGCUCGUAGCAAUACGGGAGUGGCAGACGGGUGAGUAACACGUGGGAACGUCCCCCUCGGUUCGGAAUAACUCAGGGAAACUUGAGCUAAUACCGGAUACGUCCGAGAGGAGAAAGAUUUAUCGCCGAGGGAUCGGCCCGCGUCUGAUUAGCUAGUUGGUGAGGUAACGGCCCACCAAGGCGACGAUCAGUAGCUGGCUGAGAGGAUGACCAGCCACACUGGGACUGAGACACGGCCCAGACUCCUACGGGAGGCAGCAGUGGGGAAUCUUGGACAAUGGGCGAAAGCCUGAUCCAGCCAUGCCGCGUGAGUGAU